rnacentral:rRNA from 1 species
GAGUUUGAUCAUGGCUCAGAUUGAACGCUGGCGGCAUGCCUUACACAUGCAAGUCGAACGGCAGCACGGGAGCUUGCUCCUGGUGGCGAGUGGCGAACGGGUGAGUAAUGCAUCGGAACGUAUCCUGGAGUGGGGGAUAACGUAGCGAAAGUUACGCUAAUACCGCAUAUUCUGUGAGCAGGAAAGCGGGGGACCUUCGGGCCUCGCGCUCUUGGAGCGGCCGAUGUCGGAUUAGCUAGUUGGUGAGGUAAAGGCUCACCAAGGCGACGAUCCGUAGCAGGUCUGAGAGGAUGAUCUGCCACACUGGAACUGAGACACGGUCCAGACUCCUACGGGAGGCAGCAGUGGGGAAUUUUGGACAAUGGGGGCAACCCUGA